rnacentral:rRNA from 1 species
GAUGAACGCUGGCGGCGUGCCUAAUACAUGCAAGUCGAGCGAACGGACGAGAAGCUUGCUUCUCUGAUGUUAGCGGCGGACGGGUGAGUAACACGUGGAUAACCUACCUAUAAGACUGGGAUAACUUCGGGAAACCGGAGCUAAUACCGGAUAAUAUUUUGAACCGCAUGGUUCAAAAGUGAAAGACGGUCUUGCUGUCACUUAUAGAUGGAUCCGCGCUGCAUUAGCUAGUUGGUAAGGUAACGGCUUACCAAGGCAACGAUGCAUAGCCGACCUGAGAGGGUGAUCGGCCACACUGGAACUGAGACACGGUCCAGACUCCUACGGGAGGCAGCAGUAGGGAAUCUUCCGCAAUGGGCGAAAGCCUGACGGAGCAACGCCGCGUGAGUGAUGAAGGUCUUCGGAUCGUAAAACUCUGUUAUUAGGGAAGAACAUAUGUGUAAGUAACUGUGCACAUCUUGACGGUACCUAAUCAGAAAGCCACGGCUAACUACGUGCCAGCAGCCGCGGUAAUACGUAGGUGGCAAGCGUUAUCCGGAAUUAUUGGGCGUAAAGCGCGCGUAGGCGGUUUUUUAAGUCUGAUGUGAAAGCCCACGGCUCUUCGUGGAGGGUCAUUGGAAACUGGAAAACUUGAGUGCAGAAGAGGAAAGUGGAAUUCCAUGUGUAGCGGUGAAAUGCGCAGAGAUAUGGAGGAACACCAGUGGCGAAGGCGACUUUCUGGUCUGUAACUGACGCUGAUGUGCGAAAGCGUGGGGAUCAAACAGGAUUAGAUACCCUGGUAGUCCACGCCGUAAACGAUGAGUGCUAAGUGUUAGGGGGUUUCCGCCCCUUAGUGCUGCAGCUAACGCAUUAAGCACUCCGCCUGGGGAGUACGACCGCAAGGUUGAAACUCAAAGGAAUUGACGGGGACCCGCACAAGCGGUGGAGCAUGUGGUUUAAUUCGAAGCAACGCGAAGAACCUUACCAAAUCUUGACAUCCUUUGACAACUCUAGAGAUAGAGCCUUCCCCUUCGGGGGACAAAGUGACAGGUGGUGCAUGGUUGUCGUCAGCUCGUGUCGUGAGAUGUUGGGUUAAGUCCCGCAACGAGCGCAACCCUUAAGCUUAGUUGCCAUCAUUAAGUUGGGCACUCUAAGUUGACUGCCGGUGACAAACCGGAGGAAGGUGGGGAUGACGUCAAAUCAUCAUGCCCCUUAUGAUUUGGGCUACACACGUGCUACAAUGGACAAUACAAAGGGCAGCGAAACCGCGAGGUCAAGCAAAUCCCAUAAAGUUAUUCUCAGUUCGGAUUGUAGUCUGCAACUCGACUACAUGAAGCUGGAAUCGCUAGUAAUCGUAGAUCAGCAUGCUACGGUGAAUACGUUCCCGGGUCU